CCUACGGGGGGCAGCAGUGGGGGAUAUUGGACCAUGGGGGAAACCCUGAUCCAGCGACGCCGCGUGAGUGAAGAAGUAUUUCGGUAUGUACAGCUCUAUCAGCAGGGGAGAAAGAAAUGACGGUACCUGAGUAAGAAGCCCCGGCUAAAUACGUUCCAGCAACCGCGGUAAUACGUAGGGGGCAAGAGGUAUCCCGAAUUAAUGGUGGUAACGGGAGCGUAGACGGUAAUGCAAGUCUGGAGUGAAAGGCGGGGGACCACCCCCCGGACUGCUCUGGAAACUGUGUAACUGGAGUGCAGGAGAGGCAGGCGGAAUUCCUAGUGUAGCGGUGAAAUGCGUAGAUAUUAGGAGGAACACCAGUGGCGAAGGCGGCCUGCUGGACUGUAACUGACGUUGAGGCUCGAAAGCGUGGGGAGCAAACAGGAUUAGAUACCCUUGUAGUC
rnacentral:rRNA from 1 species